rnacentral:rRNA from 1 species
CAGCAGCCGCGGUAACACGUAGGUGGCAAGCGUUGUCCGGAAUUAUUGGGCGUAAAGCGCGCGCAGGCGGAUCAGUUAGUCUGUCUUAAAAGUUCGGGGCUUAACCCCGUGAUGGGAUGGAAACUGCUGAUCUAGAGUAUCGGAGAGGAAAGUGGAAUUCCUAGUGUAGCGGCGAAAUGCGUAGAUAUUAGGAAGAACACCAGUGGCGAAGGCGACUUUCUGGACGAAAACUGACGCUGAGGCGCGAAAGCCAGGGGAGCGAACGGGAUCAGAUACCCCAGUAGUCCCUGUCUCUUAUACA